UAGACUGCAGCCCUUCUGCUUUGUCCCAACCCUCUCCACAUCCUGUGUGCACCCUCCUUCUGGCUCCCAGUCCUUCCGCUCACCGAGUCUGCAGCUGGCUAAUCUGAGUCCCUCGGCUGGACCCUCAGCACUGUUCAAGAACCUGCCUCCUUUUCGUCCCAAAGUUUAUCUUGGCUGACGUUGACACCUCAUGAGACACUGGUUCGGAAUGCAGAGAAAUCACUCACUUCAGGAAUGCUUGCAGGAAUGCUGAGCAACUCACCAUUGGUCUGUCCACCCAGGGAGGAUCUGAUAAUAAAUCUGAGUUUCUGAACAGCAAUGUCACAGCACAAACACGCUUCCUCUCCUGCCCGAGAUCUAUGCCCGACACAGGAUACCGGGUCACAUCCUAAUCCCAGCACACGAGCAGCUCCUCAGCGUGCACAGCAGCCUCAGUGAAUCACCUCAUCAGCUGCAGAGUCAGAGGUAAGUGAGGGCUAGCCGAUCUCCUGCAGCACCGACAUGCCAAACUUCUAAGAAGACACCUAUCGUCUUUCCAUGUCUUGAGAAUUACAAUGGUCUCCACUUAAGGUAAUAUUAAAAACACACAACAACAACAAAA
rnacentral:lncRNA from 12 species